rnacentral:lncRNA from 1 species
UAAAAACGCGUAUAAGAUGUUCAAGAGAUCAGAGCCGAAGAGGUCUUGCCAACGGAAAUAAUGGACAAGCUAAAAAAAUUAGAAGAUUCUGUUGAGAAUCUAA